CGCCCUUAUUAGAUACCCUGGUAGUCCACGCAGUAAACGAUGAAUGCUCGCUGCCCUACCCUUCGGGAUUGGGUGGCCAAGCGAAAGCGUUAAGCAUUCCACCUGGGGAGUACGCCGGCAACGGUGAAACUCAAAGGAAUUGACGGGGGCCCGCACAAGCGGAGGAACAUGUGGUUUAAUUCGAUGAUACGCGAGGAACCUUACCCGGGCUCAAACGUCAUUGGACGGUCUGUGAAAGCAGACUUUCCUUCGGGACCGAUGACGAGGUGCUGCAUGGUUGUCGUCAGCUCGUGCCGUGAGGUGUCGGCUUAAGUGCCAUAACGAGCGCAACCCCUACCGACAGUUGCUAACAAGCAGCGUUGAGGACUCUGUCGGGACUGCCAGCGCAAGCUGUGAGGAAGGCGGGGAUGACGUCAAAUCAGCACGGCCCUUACGUCCGGGGCGACACACGUGUUACAAUGGCAGGUACAGCGGGAAGCCAUGCGGCGACGCAGAGCGGAACCCGAAAACCUGUCUCAGUUCGGAUUGGAGUCUGCAACCCGACUCCAUGAAGCUGGAUUCGCUAGUAAUCGCGCAUCAGCCACGGCGCGGUGAAUACGUUCCCGGGCCUUGUACACACCGCCCGUCAAGCCAUGGGAGCCGGGAGUGCCUGAAGUACGUGAGCGCAAGCAGCGUCCUAAGGCAAAACCGGUGACUGGGGCUAAGUCGUAACAAGGUACC
rnacentral:rRNA from 1 species